rnacentral:rRNA from 1 species
AUGCAAAAAAAAAAAAAAUGGAUUGCAGCCAAGGAUCGUUUUGAUAUUCAUAUGCCGAGGCUACAUCCAGACACGUGGGCGCGUGACAUUCUGUUGGAUCAGAUGUUCUCCGACGACGCCAGAUGUAAGAUCAUAACCACCAUGCACUCUAUUUGGUCUUCUCGCAAUAGAUGGACUCAUGAUCAGGAGGGUUAUGAACCAAUGAUGGCAAUCAAACGGGUUCAUGAGAAUCUCUCUCUCCUAGAGAUUCCAGGGCACCGGAUAGCUUCAACUUCCGGUCUGCUUUGGAGACCUCCUGAGGCAGGAUGGAUCAAGAUAAACACUGACGAUUCAGUGUUUGAUGAUGCACCUGCGGAUGGAGCAGGAGGAGUAGCACGAUCUCACCUAGCUUUCUUGGGAGCUUGGUGUAAGCCAUUGCCGGGUGUCUCGGACCCUUUCAUUUCGGAGUUGUUGGCUCUACGGAAGGGGUAA